rnacentral:tRNA from 1 species
GGUGGUCAUGGUGUAGUGGCAGCACGUCGCGCUGUGAACGCGAAAGCCCUGGUUCGAUCCCGGAGGCCACCCC